AACGAGGCCGACCUGCGGCUGAGUUACCUGCGGAGGGAUCAUUACCGAGUUUACAACUCCCAAACCCCUGUGAACAUACCAAUUGUUGCCUCGGCGGAUCAGCCCGCUCCCGGUAAAACGGGACGGCCCGCCAGAGGACCCCUAAACUCUGUUUCUAUAUGUAACUUCUGAGUAAAACCAUAAAUAAAUCAAAACUUUCAACAACGGAUCU
rnacentral:misc_RNA from 1 species